AAUGAACGCUGGCGGCGUGCCUAACACAUGCAAGUCGAGCGAGAAAGGGACCUUCGGGUCCUGAGUAAAGCGGCGCACGGGUGAGUAACGCGUGGGUAACCUACCCUUGAGUGGGGGAUAACCAGCCGAAAGGCUGACUAAUCCCGCAUACGUCCAUCAGGCAUAAGUCUGAUGGGGAAAGAUGGCCUCUACUUGUAAGCUAUCGCUCUUUGAUGGGCCCGCGUUGGAUUAGCUUGUUGGUGAGGUAAUGGCUCACCAAGGCAACGAUCCAUAGCUGGUUUGAGAGGACGACCAGCCACACUGGAACUGAGACACGGUCCAGACUCCUACGGGAGGCAGCAGUGAGGAAUAUUGCGCAAUGGGGGAAACCCUGACGCAGCGACGCCGUGUGAGUGAUGAAGGCCUUCGGUCGUAAGACUCUGUCAGAGGGAAA
rnacentral:rRNA from 1 species